UGAGGCGAGAGAAAGCGGCGGGGUUUCGGAGCGAGAUAAAAAUCUUAUUAUGCAACGCACAUUUUUAAUAGAUUAUUGCCGAGUCCAGGGCUGAGAAGGAUCUAUUUAUGUGGUUACACAUGCACAGCACAGGCAUCUCCAAACCCACUCAAAAUCCCAAAUCCCAGCUAAGUCACUGAUUCAUCACUUCUGGCAGCAAACAACGAAGGAAGGAGGAGAUGAAGACAAUGCUCCUGAAGGACAGUGCCUGGCACGAAGUUCCCAUCCGCCAUGUGUCCCAAGCGCUCCCCAGAGCAGGGAACACAACUCUGCCAGCUGAGACCAACAGGACAAGACUGGAGUGACCAAGUUCUUAAAUUUCAAAAGAAUGCAGUGUCAUUAAGACCUUAGUAACACCGUGGCCUCACAAAAUUGGCCAUUUCCACUUAUAAAAAAGCUGUAAGAGAAUCUCCAGCUUGCGAAAAUCCUCAAGACCACCACAGAAAUUGCAGGCAGUAAUUAUUCUCCAGACAAAUGAAAAGGGAUAUAUCACACAGCAAGUGGGAGCAUCGAACCAGGGAAAAGGGGGGGAGGCAGCUUUUGCUCACCAACAGGGCUAAAUUCAAAGUGUGUUGAAAAUUAAACACUUGUGCUUUGAAAGACUUCAAGGCCAGAUGGGGUUUUCUUCCCAAAGUAAAGAGAGGGUUAAAUUCUUAUUAUUAUCUGAUUACUGAAAAACAUGUAAAACUCUUUACUGAUCCUUCAAAAUUAAGUAUACAAUACACAAGAUUCCAUUACUUGCUCGACUGAGUUUGAUUUUAUUGUAUUAAUAAGAAAAAAAUGUUUUAUUUCCUCCCAGAGUAUCGUCUAUUUUUCCAUUACUAAAACUAGAAAUUGCCAAGAAAAUGAAAUGCUCAAGCACAGCAGACGCUGCUUUUCUUCUCAUUAAAUCUUAAAACUUGGUUCCAGUGGGAUCAUAUUUAGUCCUCUCAAAUUCAGAACAGGAUUUCAUCUCUCCUCAACAUCCCAACAAUGACUUUUAUAAAUAUUACAAGUUUCUUGGACGCCCUUCUCAUUCCACAAGGAGCAGAGAAGCACCAAUAGAGACUUUUUCUUCUUCCCCGGCUUGAGUUUUAUUUUAUUAAACCUUAAAUGUAACCAGCCCUCCUUUCAAUACAUUUUCUGUAGGAA